ACCUUUUUUUUUUUCUUUUUUUUUUUUGGGAUAAGAAGAUAAAACAUUGAGCCACAUAUGUUUUGUUUGCUUUAAAAAGUGUUCUUGGACAUGAUUAUACAUAAUAAGACAUUGCCCCAUAUGUAUUGUUUGACCAAUUUCCUUUAAAAAAGUGUUCGUGAAUAUGACUAAAUUUAGUAAAGCAUUGAGCCCACGAUCAGAAAACUGUAGUUACCAAUGCAUUCAUCUCCACAGUUGGUUUAUGAAAGAGAGAGGAAGAGUGGGAGACGCGGGUGCUUUUUCUUCUUUAGUUUCUCUGCACACAACAUGUGAAGGAUCUCAUUUUUGUUUCCACUAGCUCUUGCUUUUUGGUUUUUAGUCAAUGUCAUAUAGAUUGCAUGUCUUUUUUGUUUUCUCCAAUUUGACACAAUAACAAGAGCUUUCAGGAUUGCAGGGAUAAGAUUCCUGUGCAAAGACAUCUUUACUUCAAAUCCUUUCUGGGAAUUGUUGCAUUUCAAGUGGGGUUUUAUGAAAGCCCACUUUUUCUUUUUCUUUUUUCCUUUUUUUGCAUGAGAUAUUUUUCGAGCUGUUGGCAGGUUUGCAUGCAUUAUAUAGUUACAAUGGUAAAUUGGGAAAGGUGCAAGAGUGAGAGAUAUGGGAGGGGAGGCAGAAGAUCAACAGUCACCCUUACUAAGAAGCUGUUCUUCACCAGAGGAGCCUCUAGAAAGAACAGAUGUGAUUUCUAUCUCAGAAAAAGAUGAAACUGGAUCGUUGUCUGGAGGUUUGCGAGGGAGUAGUAUUCUGACAUUUUUGUACGUUGUGUAUACGAGCAUAAAGACUGUAGUUUUCUCAAACAAACUCAACACGCAGAUUGUUUUUGGGCCAACAGCAAUUCUUGUUCAGAAAUUGACUGAUAAAUCUGUUUGGGUCUUCUUUCUAAGCUUAGUGGGCAUAACACCUUUGGCUGAGCGUUUAGGUUAUGCUACAGAGUCAGCUUCUUUUUACACUGGACCUACAGUCGAAGGCCUUUUGAAUGCUACUUUUGGGAAUGCAACAGAAUUUAUAAUUUCAAUCCUCGCAAUGAAAAGUGGAAUGAUACGUGUUGUUCAGCUGUAAUUAUUGGGUUCAAUUCUGUCAAACUUGUUGCUGGUACUUGGAUGUGCAUUCUUUUAUGGUGGGUUUGUUCUUCAUAAGGAACAGCUGUUUAAUAAGACAACUGCUGUUGUAAACUCCAAAUUGCUGUUUAUGGCAGUCAUGGGCCUGCUUUUUCCAGCUGUUCUUCAUUGUACACACACUGAGGUUUAUUUUGGGAAGUCAGAGUUGGCUCUUUCAAGAUUUAGCAGCUGCAUUAUGCUUGUCACAUAUGCUGCAUACCUUUUUUUCCAGCUAAAGAGUCGAAGAAAUCUCAAUGUUCCUCUUAAUGAGGAUGGGUUUCAGAUUGAAGAGGGCUCAUAUGAUGAUGAAGCUCCCCAAAUCUCAAAAUGGGAAUCAGUAAUUUGGCUUUUGAUUAUAUCUGCUUGUGUCUCAAUCCUAUCUGAAUAUUUAGUUGAUACAAUAGAGAGAGCAUCUAUUGCAUUGAAUAUGCCAGUUUCAUUUAUUAGUGUUAUUUUGCUUCCACUUGUGGGGAAUGCUGUAAAUCAUGCAAGUGCUAUUACAUUUGCCAUGAAAGAGAAGCUUGACAUAACAUUAGGAAUCUCAAUAGGAUCAUCAACGCAGAUAGCUUUGUUUGUGAUUCCGUUUUCUGUAGUCCUCGGUUGGAUUAUGGAGCAACCUAUGGAUUUAAACUUUCAGCUUUUCGAGACAGCAACACUUUUUAUAUUCGUCUUCAUAGUAGCCUUAAUGUUGCAGGAAGGAACUCAUUAUUUUAAGGGACUGAUGCUUCUUCUUUGCUAUCUGAUAGUCGCAGCAAGUUUUUUUGUACAUGUUGAUGUUUCUCCAGGAGUUCAGCUUAAAUUUCACUUUGUCUAG